UAAUUGAAGAGUUUGAUCAUGGCUCAGAUUGAACGUUGGCGGCAGGCCUUACACAUGCAAGUCGAACGGUAACAGCGGAGCUUGCUCCGGCUGACGAGUGGCGGACGGGUGAGUAACGCGUGGGAAUCUACCCAGUAGCGGGGGAUAGCCCGGGGAAACCCGGAUUAAUACCGCAUACGCCCUAAGGGGUAAAGUUGGGGAUCUUCGGACCUGACACUAUUGGAGGAGCCCGCGUUGGAUUAGCUAGUUGGUGGGGUAAAGGCCUACCAAGGCGACGAUCCAUAGCUGGUCUGAGAGGACGAUCAGCCACACUGGGACUGAGACACGGCCCAGACUCCUACGGGAGGCAGCAGUAGGGAAUAUU
rnacentral:rRNA from 1 species